GGGGUGCAAGAUAAAUGUGGUUUUAUUGGCAGUCCCAGUCCUAUUUUAUGAAACAAUACCCAUUUUUGUUCACCAAUACAAUUCCAAGCUUUAUAGUUCAUAUUUCUUUUUAUUUUUUUAAAUGGUUAGUCUGAUAGCUGUAGUUUUCCUGCAUUGCAUUCUAAUAUGGUCCAACUGACAUUAUAAAGUGGAAAUACUUAUUGCACUUAUGUACG